GAUGAAGAACGCAGCGAAAUGCGAUAAGUAAUGUGAAUUGCAGAAUUCAGUGGAUCAUCGAAUCUUUGAACGCACCUUGCGCCCUUUGGCCAUUCCGAAGGGCAUGCCUGUUUGAGUAUCAUGAACACCUCAACUCUUUAUGGUUUUCCAUGAUGAGCUUGGACUCUGGGGGUUUUGCUGGCUCACAGUCGGCUCCUCUAAAAUGAAUCAGCUUACCAGUGUUUGGUGGGUAUCAUGGGUGUGAUAACUAUCUACGCUUGUGGUUUUUCCACCAGGUAACCUUCAGCAGUGGAGGUUCGCUGGAGCUCAUAGAUGUCUCUCCUCAGUGAGGACAGCCCUUUGAAUGUUUGAUCUCAAAUCAGGUAGGACUACCCGCUGAACUUAAGCAUAUCAAUAAGCGGAGGA
rnacentral:misc_RNA from 1 species